rnacentral:rRNA from 1 species
CCAGACUCCUACGGGAGGCAGCAGUGGGGAAUAUUGCACAAUGGGCGGAAGCCUGAUGCAGCAACGCCGCGUGCGGGAUGACGGCCUUCGGGUUGUAAACCGCUUUCGCCUGUGACGAAGCGUGAGUGACGGUAAUGGGUAAAGAAGCACCGGCUAACUACGUGCCAGCAGCCGCGGUGAUACGUAGGGUGCGAGCGUUGUCCGGAUUUAUUGGGCGUAAAGGGCUCGUAGGUGGUUGAUCGCGUCGGAAGUGUAAUCUUGGGGCUUAACCCUGAGCGUGCUUUCGAUACGGGUUGACUUGAGGAAGGUAGGGGAGAAUGGGAUUCCUGGUGGAGCGGUGGAAUGCGCAGAUAUCAGGAGGAACACCAGUGGCGAAGGCGGUUCUCUGGGCCUUUCCUGACGCUGAGGAGCGAAAGCGUGGGGAGCGAACAGGCUUAGAUACCCUGGUAGUCCACGCUGUAAACGGUGGGUACUAGGUGUGGGGUCCAUUCCGCGGGUUCCGUGCCGUAGCUAACGCUUUAAGUACCCCGCCUGGGGAGUACGGCCGCAAGGCUAAAACUCAAAGGAAUUGACGGGGGCCCGCACAAG